rnacentral:rRNA from 1 species
UACGUAGGUGGCAAGCGUUACUCGGAAUCACUAGGCGUAAAGCGCGGGUAGGCGGUUAGGUAAGUCUGUUGUGAAAGCUCCUGGCUUAACUGGGAGAGGUCAACGGAAACUACCUAGCUCGAGUGUGGUAGAGGAAGCUGGAAUUCCCGGUGUAGCGGUGAAAUGCGUAGAUAUCAAGCGGAACACCAGUGGCGAAGGCGAGUCCCUGGACAACUCCUGACACUGAGGCACGAAAGCUAGGGGAGCAAACAGG